rnacentral:lncRNA from 1 species
CACGUUUUGCUUUUCAUUUUGGUUGGUUGUUUGAUGAAAAUGGGGUUCUAUGUGAGUUUUGGGUUGAAGAGAUCUUAAGGUGUUGUGUGGGUGUUGUGGGUUUGGCUCUUUCCUUCAUAUUUCGGUUUUUAUGUUUGAAACUAGUUUGGAACCAGAGUUUGAUGAUGUUAUUUGGGCUGGAAAGUGCUUGAGUUGAAUGGUAUAAUGUUAUUUUCGUUUUUUGCACAAGAGCUUGAAGAAAUGGAAGAUUGGGUUGAGUUGAAGUAGUAGUAGUGUGGGUUUAUUGUGUUGAAUGGAGUUGAACUUUGAAAUGAGGUAUCUUGGGUGUAUGAUUUCGGUGUGAGGAAGAAGAAAGAGCUGGUGGAGUGUGUUGGAGAGUGAAAUUGCCGAAUGGGACAAGGAAAGGAAGAGAGAGGAGUGCAUUUAAGUUUUUACCACUUUUGGGCAAACAAAAAAAGAUGCUUAUUCUCAUUCUAGGAAGAUUUCCAUUUUAAUCUUUGUNUCUUUGCUUGCAAUUGCCGAGACUUCCCUUGCAAUGNANAAUGUUUNUAGUUUGUUUUCCUUGCUUUGACUUUGCUUACAUGUCAUCUUUGUUGGACCAUCCAAAGUAUCUUUCAUUUGCACAUUGGUUUUUGAAGCAACUUUUGUANAAGCUCUUGCAUUGUUCACGUGAAUUGUGUGCUUUGGUGUGUGCAUUCAGAANUUUGCUGCAUGGAGAAGGCUAAGGCACGGUUUUCAAUUGAAUGUUUAAGCAUAUUUUAAUUUGUUUUGAGAAUUGGUGCACAUGGGACAAAAGACUACACAUUUGGUGGUUAAGUGAAGAUAGAAUUUUGGAGUUGGACCCUUGAACAUGACUCACGGCCAUGUGCCUUGUCUUGGCCAUUUGGACUUUUAAAUUUAUUUGUUAAUUGUUAUUUAGUCAAAGUAAUUUGCUAGGAUUAAAUUAGGGUUGUUGGUUUCUCUUGUUUUCAAUUAAAUUGCUUAGUAGAUUGAGUUGUUUUGAUGUGUUAGAGUUAGCUUUGCAUUUUAUUAUUUUUAACUGCCUUUGUUAAUUAGUUUAUAACAGUAUUUGAUAUUUAAAUGUUGUCUAAGGUUUUUAAUAGUGUUAGUUUAAUUACCAUGCUAGCUCAAAUUGGUUUGUUUGCAUCUGUGUUAUAUUGAGUUCUUUAAUUUCUGCAAAAACCUUUCAACCUCCCCCCCUCUUUUUGUGCUAGACUUGAUUCUCGAACCGCAAAAUUGGUCUUUGGGAGACGACCUAGGGGUCAUUCCCUAGCUAUACUGCAUUCCUAAUAUGCAAUUAAAUUUGUAUGGGCC